rnacentral:piRNA from 1 species
UAAGGAAUAUCUUCUCGAUGGAGUCAG